rnacentral:rRNA from 1 species
UAUUGCAGCAAUACCACCGCGUCAAUGUCUGGUCUUGUCUAAUCUCAGAAGCUAAGCAGAGUUGGGUCUAGUUUAUACUUGGAUGGGAGACUGCUCAAAUGAAAGGCCACAAUGG